UACGUAGGUGGCAAGCGUUGUCCGGAUUUAUUGGGUUUAAAGGGUGCGUAGGCGGCUUUGUAAGUCAGUGGUGAAAUAUGGCAGCUUAACUGUCAAGGUGCCAUUGAUACUGCAGAGCUUGAGUACAGAUGAGGUAGGCGGAAUUGACGGUGUAGCGGUGAAAUGCUUAGAUAUCGUCAAGAACACCUAUAGCGAAGGCAGCUUACUAAGCUGUAACUGACGCUGAGGAGCGAAAGCGUGGGGAGCGAACAGG
rnacentral:rRNA from 1 species